ensembl:lncRNA
CUGGGCCGCGCCCGAGCCCGGGGGGAAGGAAGGGCGGCGCUGCCCGCUCCGGGCGUCACAGGCUGCAGCCCGCAGCGCCGCUUCCAAAACCUACAGCCGGGCUCAGGGGCGAGCCGAGUCGGAGCGAGGGACGGGGCGGCCGCGCAGCCAUCAAUCACCGGCUCGGGCGGGAAGGGCGGCCCUGGGCGCGGCGGGAAGGAAGGGCAGGGCCGCGCGCGCUCAACUCGGACGGGAGGACGCGCAGCCCAGGCGCGCUGGUGGACGAGCGGGCCGGACAGGGACCGGGUGCAGAACCGACCCGGGAGAGUAGGCGCGGCGGCGGCACCGAGGCGGGCCGAGCUUGAGAAGAUCCGAGUGUCCACCCGGGGGCCGUCGCCAUCCUGUAGGCGCGCCGUGUCUAUGUGCCCUGGGGCGCCAGGUCCCCCUAGGCGGCGACCGCCCCCCCCCCCGGGGGGGGCGGCGCCCUCUGACUUUUCGCUGUGAUCCCGGAGACCCUGGAAGCCUGCACCUCCCGCGGGCCCAGCACUCCUGAAAAUGAAAACUUGGCAAACUUCACAGUCAGAUCCUCCUACCCAGAGCGAGAGCUCGGGCUGGCCUAGGGCUCAGCCCGGCGACCUUUCGUUUCUUGCUGCUUCCCCGGGGGAUGGAGCGCGAGCGAGCGCAGUGGCCUUCGUUCACUGUCAGGGCGCGGGGCGGCGGGAAAGGCCAGGCCCCUCCUAGGACUUUGUAUAGCUCAGUGCUAGUUUGGUGCCCCCUCUUAAAGUUUCUUUUUAAACAGUAUUAAUGUAAUAAGGAAUGCAAUAAAAAGAACAAAGCACAAAUUGGUUCAAUUGUUUUAGUCCUGGGUAAUGUUUUAAAGCACCUCUGCUGCAGUCUAUAGCUUGUUAUUGCUUCAAGAUGUUUUAAAGGCCUUUUGAGUUCACCAUCCUCACUUUGAUGCUUGGUCCAAGCGUGGUGCUACUUAAAACGUAGUGAUCCGUGUAUUUCCAGCCCCUUCAUGUUAAGCAGUGUUAUAAAAAUUAGUACUCGGUAACCUCAAGCAGUGAAAUUGCAUUCUGUAAGGCACGCACAUGAAAGAGCACGUGGAGGACACCCAGAACGGACACGAUCUGCUGUCCCAUAUAAUUUUUAAAAUGUACAGGGUGAGAGUUUUUUUUUUAAUAAAAGAUAUCAGAAAAAAGUUGGAUUUUUGUGGCUUGCUAAUUGGAGUUCAUUGAUCACCGACCAUUAAAUGCCUGCUUGGGUCCCUUGUAUUAGUUGAAAUACCAUGUUUGUGAUGACAGAAUUUUGACCACGUUAGUGUCUGUCGCACAGUAAGUGCUCAAAACUUUGGGGUUUCGCCCAGGGAAUGAGGAGUGAUGAAAACUUGAUGUCCCCAAACCAUGGUUUUGUUCCAGUGUUCAUGUGAGAAGCACCCAGAGAAGAGUAAAAUAGGUCUGGUGGAGAAAAAUAUGACCCAAGAUAAGAACGGUGUGGCUGUGAUGUGAAAGGGGAGGAAAGAUGAAAGGCCAUUUAAGAAAAGUUAAGGAGCACACUGUGUUCAACGAAACUUGUGUAAAAAUGCAGCCAUCCAGGACCAGCAUCCGGUGGCUUGAUGAGGGAAAUGAGCAUCCUUACCGGUGGCCAAACCAGAACUGCCUGAAGCCACCUGUGGCUCCUCCCCAACCCAAACAGGGCACAGCCUAUCUGUCAUUCCCUGAAUCCUCCUGGGUCACUACCCACUCCUUGGCCACUGCCCUCCCUGGUCCACCCUGCUGCCCCAGUGCCUUGUUGGUCAUCCCAUCGGUGGUGUGGCUGAUGGGUGAGAAAGAGAGGGGACCAAGGAAGUAAAAGUGCUUCUCAAAAUGCAGAUUGACUUCCCACUCCUGCAGACCUGGCCUCCUGCUGUCAUUAUAGACUCCUUUCUCCCUGUUCUCCCUUUCUACUCUGCAGCAAUGCUGAGCUUCAGCCCUUUUAUCUGGCUCACUUCCCCACCCCAGGCCCUUUGCGCAUUCACAUUUUUCUAGGUUGAAAAGCCUCCCUAUCUUUUCUCCCAACCCCUGACCUCCACUCUCAUGUCCUUAAGUCCCACUAAGUCUUGAUUUAUAUGACACUUUCUCCAAAAUAUAUCUUCUUUUCCGCCAUCCUCACCCCACCUGGAUGAGUUGAAGUGUUCCUUCUUGGUGCUCCGUAGCACUUGGGUUUCACCUCUUGUGAUACUUUUCAUUCUUUUAAGUAUUUAAUAAUCUCUUUAUGGCAGAAGAAUGGAGGGAUUGUGAGGACAGAGACUGUGUAUUAUUAGCAAAGUCACAUUUCAGGGGUUCAGUGGAUGAUUGCGUGUCAAAGGAAUAAGGGGGCUGUAUGAACUGGGAAGAAGGGAAAGUUGUCCCGAGGUGGAGAUGGGAGGAGGUUUUGGAAAUGCUAGUGGCCAGAAACUGUGCCUAGGUAAAUCCCAGGGAUUGGACAUGGUGAGCAGAGAGAGCGCACUGCCCUCGCUGAACUUCCUUAAGCAGCAGUGAGAUGGUGAAAGUGGAGCCUCAGUUUUCCUUUUAUCCCUAACAGUAGCAUAGUGCCUGGCACACUUGUGGUCAGGGAAUCUUGGGUUAGAGAAGUAUCGCUGGAUUAGCCCUGGGGGCAGUUGCUUUACCUUUGUUCCUUGCUGAGGGCAAGCUGGUCUAGUUUAGGUUCAGAGCAGCAGAUUUGGGGUAAGGAUUCCCCUUCCUGGUUUCUGCUGAGCCGUUGUUGCUCGCAGCCAAUCAUUGCAAUCCUAGUCAACAUGUAUGAUUGAGUUCUGGUAACUGGACAUGAAGGAAAGUGUGUGUUAAGGUUUGGAUUGAAGAUGUAUCCUUGGAGGUGAGACUUUUAGAAAGUGAUUGGAUCAAGGGCUAAGCAUCAGUAGAUUAAUCCAGCAAUGGAUGCAUAAUUUUAUGGCAUUAUUAGGCGGUGAUGGAAACUUAGGUGGUGGGGCCUAGCUGAGGAGGGAGUGAGUCUUGGGGGCACGACUUUGGAGACCGUGUCUCGUCAACUCUGGCUCACUGUGUUUCCAGCUGCUGUGAGGUGAGGAACUUUGUUCUGCUGCACCCUUCCACCAUAAUGCUCUGCCUCACCACAGGUCCAAGGACAACAGAGCCAUGGUGCCAUGGACUGAAACCUCUAAACUGUAAGCCAAAAUAAACAUUUUCAUCCUUUAAGUUCUUUUUAUCAGACAUUUUGUCAUAGCAACAAAAAGUUGAAUAACACAUUAUGCUAGAGGAUUAUGGGAAAUAAUUUUAUUCCUCUUAACAGGAAACCCCCAGACCUACUUUGGAAGUUGUGAUGUGGGGAUGUGAUGCUUAAAUUUGUGGCAGCCAUCUUAUGAUCAUGAGGGGAUAGUUAACACUUCAGAUUUCUGUAUGGAUAAUUCUUUUCUCUCCAAUUAGAUUUCAGCUCAAUUAUUACCUCUUGCAGGGAUGACUGCCCUGACAACACAAACUAAAAUACUACCCCCUUCUCCAAUCGCUAAUAUUAUCCUAUUUUACUUUCUUUUUGAAAUAUACCAUUAACUAAAAUUACUGUGUUCUCUUCUUUUAAAAAUAUAUUUAUUAAUUUUUUUUCUACUUAGAAUGUGAGAGCAGAGAGAUUCUAUUUCGCUCUUCUUUUCUCAACUCCUAGAACAAUAUCUAUCAAAAGAAAGGUGUGCCAUAAGUAUUCAUUGAUUUGUAGAUGACACCUAAAUGACCACAAGACAAUGACACCAUGAAGCUUGAAAAUUGAGGCUGAUUUGGAGCCUGGUGGGUACAAGCCACUACAAGUCACCACUUGCUCUUUUAGGCUUAUAUCACAGUUCCAUCUUAGGCAAUUCUAAUGUAGGGAUAGAUAUUCUUCCCUAUAUACUUUAGAACUUUUCUGUUUGCACCCUAGUUAAUAUUUCUUCUCCUCAUUUGAUUAUACACAAAGUCACAAAAGCAGAAAAUUGUCAUGUGGUUGUGAAAUUCUGAGCAGCACAGAUACCCAUACCUUCAAGGAAAGAAAAUUGUAUGUUUGAAGUAAAAUUGGAAACACUAGGUUAUCCAUUUCUGAAGCAUUAGACAGGAAUCUCUUUAGCAUCUCUACAAGUUCCGCUUAGCCAUCUCUGUGUCCAUGCAUUCAUCCACCCAGUUUAGAAUUGCACGGAACUAGGGAGGCUGAAUUAGAAGAUUGAUGAACUGAUGAAGAUCAAACUAGGUGUAUGAUCCCCCCCACCAUGCCCCACCUAGGAGUGUUCAGCAUGUCUAGUGCAGGUGGAUAAUUUUCCAGGAUUGUGUUUGGCAGAACCAUUGCAUCCAAGGACUAAAGCACAAAAACAGUUGAAAUGCUAGAUCUUGGAGCCUAUGUUGGAAAGGUAAAUCAGAAGGAGGCUCCAGAGAGAAAGCCAAGGGACAGGUCAUCUGGACAUUCUAAAUAGUUGAGGAAUGGGUGUGUUGGAAAUAACAUCCUGAGUGUCCUGGAAGGUUUGAGGUGAGUUGUCAGAGCAGUGUGGGGAUAUCUAGAGGUGAAGCAGUCCCGGGGGACAGUAUCGUCCAGGCAUCACCUGUGGAAGUGAGAGCUAGAGGGCAGCUGUGAAGAUCUCUGAAGAUGAGGAAGGAAGGAGAAAAAUGAGUGGGGUGCUCAAUGUGGUUCCACGUGGAUCCUGAAAUCACACAGAACUCCGCCAGAAGGAAGCCAGCGUAAAUCUUCAGUCCUCAGACCACGUAUUCAUUCCAAAAGAAAAAGACAUCAAGAAACUGAUGGAUGGUGGCAACUAGGAGAAAAAUGAAUGGAAGAUCUGCUUUCCCUGAGUCAUGAUCAAGUAAAAAGUAAUCACUUGUAUUCAGUUAUUGAUUAUUUUUGUGUAGUAUAUACCAAUAGCUUCUUUUUUACUUUUUAUUACAAACACACUUUCUGUAUCAUUGAGAGUUUAAAUCAGCUCUUUGGAAUCUGACAGAUCUUAAAGCAUUAUGUAUAAUAUUAUUUCAAAGGGAAGUGGUUUAUAAUUUUCAAAUCAAUGCUGAACUGAGGGCUGUCUUGGUUUGGUUUUCUGUAGCUGUAAUUGUGUACCACAGACUGGGUGCUACAGUUUGGAUGUAUUUUGUUCCACAAGGAUUUCAGUGUUGGAAGUUUGGUCUCCAGUGUGACAAUGUUAAGAGAUGCGACCUUUGAAAGCUAGGGCCUAGUGGUCCAUAGCUCGCUAGAGGUUAGCCCUCAGAUGGGAUCAAAGCAGUUCUCUUGGGACCCUAAAUUAGUUCUCAUAAGACAGUUAAACAGAUAAAAAAUUUUACUGGUUCAAUACUCAUAUGAGUAUUCAUGUUGUGUUUAAAGUAUUUUCUGAGGACAAUACCACAGCCUCAGUGAGAAAGAUAUAAAGAAAAGAAGUGUAUUUUGGCUCACAAUCUAGUCCAAGGUGGAGGGGCCACAUCUGGCAAUGACCUUUUUUAUUGGCAGAGUCUCAAGGUGCUUCAGGGCAUUCCUUGGCAAAUGAUAGAGCACAUGUGUCUGUCUCUUCUGGUCUCUCUCCCUCUUCUUAUAAAGCCACCAGGACUCAAUCCUGAUGAUCUCAUCAAAUUCUAAUCACUUUUCAAGGUUUCACCUCUGAACACCAGAGUGGGUUUGUUUCCACCCUCUUAAUGUACCAUGAUGGGGAUGAAAUUUUGACCCAUGAAUCCUGGAGGGAGACAUUUAAACCAUAUCCAAACCAUAGCAUAAACUUUGAUCUUUGUCUUCAAGGCUCUUACAGUCUUGCAAAUGAAAUCAUACCAGAUCAGAAAAUCCUCAAAAUUCUUCAUGAGGGAGGGGAUAUCUGUGUUUAAACUCCAUUGAAGGAGGAGGAAGGGACUGCAGGUCCCAGCUUGGGGAUCUGAAAAGGUGACAGGAGCAGAGGGGUCAGUGAGACCAUGGGCUUCUCAGGAGUGGUGUGACACAGGCUAGGACAGGUCAACGGAUGCCAUGUUAUGGAGAAAAUUGGAAAUUGAUGUUGUUAAACUAUGGACAGUUUCUGAACAGGUGAGUUGCAUGAUAUCAUAUAAAAAUGACAUUAAAUAUAACUUUAAUGUGAAGUUCCUCAGUGCAAAGCAGAGAGCAGCAACUGUUAUACAUGUGCCAGUGGGUGAAAUAAACACAGAUAUCUGAUUCUUGAGUUCCAGUGGAAUUACAUACCCAUUACUCAUCAUUGAAGCUUCAUUGAAUUCGCCUGUAACAGUUAAUCUUGAGUGUCCACCAAAUUGGCUUGAGAAAUGCCUAGGAAACUAGUAAACACACUUCUGGGUGUGUCUGUGAGGAUGUUUCCAGAGACCAUUGGCACAUGGGACAGCGAAGUGAGUAGAGAGACCUGCCUUGAAGAUGAGUGGCACCAUCCAAUAGGCUGGGAGCCUAGAUGGAACAGAAGCAGAGAAGAAAGGAGCUUUCUCUCUCUCAGCAUCCCCAUUGCCAUGAGAUUCCCACCCUGCCUAGUUGGUCCAUGUACAAAUGCUUUGGAGGUUUUGCGGAUCUGUCCAUGAAAACAAUCACAUAUUGUUGUACUUAGCAACAGUGGAGAAGUCUUCAUCAGCCUUGGAAUUUAAAAAAAAUGUUAACAAGAAAAUGUGAAAAUGAUAAUAAUGAUUUGAUAUUUUUUUCUUUGCCCUUUUUUAACAGUCUUCUCUAUGUGUCUCUUUCUUUGAUGAACAUGUAUUACUUUGGAAAAAUAGCUAGAAAGAAAUGGGCAAGUUGUGCAUAAUUAAAUGCAGGACCUCAAGUAGAAGUAUGCAAGGUGGCCUGUUGAAGGUUCCCUGACUCAGAGGUAGAUUCUCUGCUUAGGAGCAUG